CAUUGGAUUCCAUAUCUAGCUAGCAGUAGGUCUGGAUUUAAGUUGAUUAAAUUUGAUUAGAUUUCAAUCUAAUCGAUUUAGGUCCAAUCGAGCUAAUCCAAAUUCAACAAUUAUAAUCCUUUCUAAUUGACGAUCGAAUUAAACUCUUUAAUUCGAUCAAAAAUCUACAAGUCAAGAUUGAUAUCAAAAAUAUAUCAUGACUAUCCAGAAGAUAUAGAAUUUGAUAAAAAUACCAAAUAUACCCUUCAGUGGCUAGUUACCAUGCAAUUCAAUCAUUCGAUCAGCCCUGC
rnacentral:lncRNA from 1 species